UCUUAAGCCAUUUGCGAGUCGAAUGUAGCAAUACAUGGCGUACUGCUCAGUAACACGUGGACAACCUACCCUCCGGACGGGUAUAAACCCGGGAAACUGGGUAUAAUUCCCGAUAGAUCUCGGUCGCUGGAAUGCCCCGAGAUCGAAAGCUCCGGCGCCAGAGGAUGGGUCUGCGGCCUAUCAGGUAGUAGUGGGUGUAGCGUACCUACUAGCCUACGACGGGUACGGGUUGUGAGAGCAAGAGCCCGGAGAUGGAUUCUGAGACACGAAUCCAGGCCCUACGGGGUGCAGCAGGCGCGAAAACUUUACAAUGCCGGCAACGGCGAUAAGGGGACCUCGAGUGCCAGGUUACAAAUCUGGCUGUCGUGAUGCCUAAAAAGCAUUGCAUAGCAAGGGCCGGGCAAGACCGGUGCCAGCCGCCGCGGUAACACCGGCAGCUCGAGUGGUAACCGUUAUUAUUGGGUCUAAAGGGUCUGUAGCCGGCCGGAUAAGUCUCUUGAGAAAUCCAGCAGCUCAACUGUUGGGCUUUCAGGAGAUACUGUUCGGCUCGAGGCCGGGAGAGGUGAGAGGUACUUCAGGGGUAGGGGUGAAAUCUUGUAAUCCUUGAAGGACCACCAGUGGCGAAGGCGUCUCACCAGAACGGACCUGACGGCAAGGGACGAAAGCUAGGGGCACGAACCGGAUUAGAUACCCGGGUAGUCCUAGCCGUAAACGAUACUCGCUAGGUGUCGGCCACGGUGCGACCGUUGUCGGUGCCGUAGGGAAGCCGUGAAGCGAGCCACCUGGGAAGUACGGCCGCAAGGCUGAAACUUAAAGGAAUUGGCGGGGGAGCACCACAACGGGUGGAGCUUGCGGUUUAAUUGGAUUCAACGCCGGAAAUCUUACCGGGACCGACAGCAAUAUGAAGGCCAGGCUGAAGACUUUGCCGGAUUAGCUGAGAGGUGGUGCAUGGCCGUCGUCAGUCGUACUGAAGGAC
rnacentral:rRNA from 1 species